rnacentral:rRNA from 1 species
GAUGAACGCUGGCGGCGUGCCUAAUACAUGCAAGUCGAGCGAACAGACGAGGAGCUUGCUCCUCUGACGUUAGCGGCGGACGGGUGAGUAACGCGUGGAUAACCUACCUAUAAGACUGGGAUAACUUCGGGAAACCGGAGCUAAUACCGGAUAAUAUAUUGAACCGCAUGGUUCAAUAGUGAAAGACGGUUUUGCUGUCACUUAUAGAUGGAUCCGCGCCGCAUUAGCUAGUUGGUAAGGUAGCGGCUUACCAAGGCGACGAUGCGUAGCCGACCUGAGAGGGUGAUCGGCCACACUGGAACUGAGACACGGUCCAGACUCCUACGGGAGGCAGCAGUAGGGAAUCUUCCGCAAUGGGCGAAAGCCUGACGGAGCAACGCCGCGUGAGUGAUGAAGGUCUUCGGAUCGUAAAACUCUGUUAUUAGGGAAGAACAAAUGUGUAAGUAACUAUGCACGUCUUGACGGUACCUAAUCAGAAAGCCACGGCUAACUACGUG